rnacentral:rRNA from 1 species
CCUACGGGGGGCUGCAGUGGGGAAUAUUGGACAAUGGGGGGAACCCUGAUCCAGCCAUGCCGCGUGUGUGAAGAAGGCCCUCGGGUUGUAAAGCACUUUCAGUGAGGAAGAACGCCUGGUGGUUAAUACCCAUCAGGAAAGACAUCACUCACAGAAGAAGCACCGGCUAACUCCGUGCCAGCAGCCGCGGUAAUACGGAGGGUGCGGGCGUUAAUCGGAAUUACUGGGCGUAAAGCGCGCGUAGGUGGCUUGAUAAGCCGGUUGUGAAAGCCCCGGGCUCAACCUGGGAACGGCAUCGGAACUGUCAAGCUAGAGUGCAGGAGAGGAAGGUAGAAUUCCCGGUGUAGCGGUGAAAUGCGUAGAGAUCGGGAGGAAUACCAGUGGCGAAGGCGGCCUUCUGGACUGACACUGACACUGAGGUGCGAAAGCGUGGGUAGCAAACAGGAUUAGAUACCCCUGUAGUC